rnacentral:rRNA from 1 species
GACGAACGCUGGCGGCGUGCUUAACACAUGCAAGUCGAACGAAGUGGCGAACGGGUGAGUAAUACGUGGGUAACCUGCCCUCCUUUUUGGGAUAAGCCUUGGAAACGGGGUCUAAUACCGGAUAAGAGGGGAUGGGCUCGCGGCCUAUCAGGGUGUUGGUGGGGUGAUGGCCUACCAAGGCGGUGACGGGUAGCCGGCCUGGUAGGGGGACCGGCAACAUUGGGACUGAGAUAGGGCCCAGACUACGACGGGGGGCAGCAGUGGGGGAUAUUGCACAAUGGGCGAAAGCCUGAUGCAGCGACGCCGGGUGGGGGAUGAAGGCUGUCGGGUUGUAAAUCUCUUUCGAUACCGAUUGGGUAGGUGGAGAAGAAGCGCCGGCUAACUACGUGCCAGCAGCCGCGGUAAUAC